UACGUAGGGGGCGAGCGUUGUCCGAAGUUACUGGGCGUAAAGCGCGCGUAGGCGGUUUCUUAAGUCUGGGGUGAAAGGUUCAGCGCUCAACGCGAACAGUGCCUUGGAUACUGGGAGACUUGAGUCUGGGAGGGGGCAGUGGAAUUCCUGGUGUAGCGGUGAAAUGCGUAGAUAUUGGGAGGAACACCGGUGGCGAAGGCGGCCCUCUGGACCGGUACUGACGCUGAUGCGCGAAAGCGUGGGGAGCAAACGGG
rnacentral:rRNA from 1 species